CUAGGGAUUAGCAGGCACUCCUGCAGCUUUCGGCGCCGCAGGAGUUGAACUUAUGGAAGUUAUGGCGCCAACGUUUGUCCGUUUGUCACAACGCUAACGAUAACUGUCAAACAGUGCGCGGAGUUUUGAUCCGUGCGUUUGUUAACGCGAUUGCCGCUGCAACUGCACUUACCUCGUCGUGGACGGACAUCCUCUUUAUCGCAGCAUCAAUGCCUUCCCAGUCGGAGUUGAUGUCCUCAGCGAGGAGAGCGAGUGAUCACUGGAAUUCACCUGCUCCUGUUCUGUGUCCUACCAAAGAUGAAAGUGCGCAUUACAGUCAUCUAAAUACAGAAUGUGCCACGCCUACUCUGCCUUGGCACUUUUAG